CUAGCGACUUCUAGAGUUUGUAUCCUGGCGUCAGGAUUAACGCUGGCGGCGUGCAUAACACAUUCAAGUCGAACGGUGAAGGGAACUUCGGUUCCCCGAUCAGUGGCGGACGGGUGAGUAACGCGUGAGCAAUCUGCCUCUGUGUGCGGGAUAACAACCGGAAACAGUUGCUAAUACCGCAUAACGUAUUCGGGUCGCAUGUCCUGAAUACCAAAGGCUUGCUGCACAGAGAUGAGCUCGCGUCUGAUUAGGUAGUUGGCGGGGUAAUGGCCCACCAAGCCGACGAUCAGUAGCCGGACUGAGAGGUUGAACGGCCACAUUGGAACUGAGAAACGGUCCAG
rnacentral:rRNA from 1 species